rnacentral:rRNA from 1 species
CCUGGCAGUUCUCACCUGGAUUCCCACUGAAGUUAAGCAGGGUUUAGCUUGGCCAGUAUCUGGACGGGAGGCCUUUUGGGGAAAACUAAGGUUGCUGCUGGAA